CGCACGGGAGUCCGCUGGCCUGAGACCCACAGUCUGGGCUCACCCGGCGCCAAAGACGCUAGAAGUCUUCAGAACCCGGUCAGGCUCUGUAAAGUGUUGUGUGUAAAUCUCCCUAGCCGCUGAGAGCUCUCUUCCCAUCCCGAGGUCUUCCCAUCCCUUCACCACACCUACAAAGUCUCUUUGACCAAGUAAAGCAAAAAUGUUCUCAGGAUGCAUAUGCCAGCAAGGAGGAUCUCCUAGAAGACACUGGCUAGGGCAGAGCUAAAAUGUAUAUAGAUGAAAGCGUUUUGAUAGACAUUGGAAGUGCAAAGUCAAGGCGCUGACAUGGUUGGCUCUUCUGAGGGUCUCUCACUGACUUGAAGUUUUUACAGGAUACCACAGAAAUAACAUUGCCCCCACCAUACUGGAAGUAAUUCUAGAAAACAACAAACAAAACAAAACAAAAAAUAAACCAAAGUUUGUCCUCAGGACUGGGAACAGUAUUAAAGGCUAUUGUGGAACUCUUUUGUACACCAGCAGAAGAAGGAGAACUUCUUGGGAGAUUCAAGGAGGUGACCUGCCUGCUGUUCAGCCUCUUUGGGGAGCAGGUUUCUUUCAGUGUAAGAGUUCUAUCAGUCAUGGUACAACAGAAGAAGAACUCAGCUAUAUACAUUUAAACUAUCUGGAACCACUCCAGCCCCAUGCAUCUUGAGAUUCAAUAUCUACUAUUUGUACAAAAAUAAAAUAAAGUUGAACACAACAGCAUUAUCAUCCACAGUUAGGCAGCGAGGGGCAGAUAACCCUAGGAUUCGGGAAAGGUAUCCCCCAAGUCCCAGGGAUGCUUCCCAGUAUGAAAAGAGCUUUGUCCGCAGACCCAUCUUCAUAGUAUAUCUGAUGGAUCCUGGACAGCAGUCUAUCUGGAGAUGUAUGCCACACAUGAGGGAGGCAUUUUCUCAACUGAACUUCCCAGAUGACUAUGUAUAUUGUCACACUGACAAAAAAUUUACCAGGACAGAACAGAAGAAUGUUUAUGAAGAGUCAAUGUACAUGUGUGUAAAAUAAUAAAAUCUAAAAUACAGUAUUAUUAGAAUAUUCAAUUAAUGCAAGAAAAGGAAAAAACAUGCACAUAUUUUAAAAUAAAUGGUUUCCCAUGUGUUUUCACGUUCCGACUUUUUAUUUGGAUGUGACAGCAAUUCUUUUACA